GAUGAAAAAAUGUUUCUACCUUUGCUACCUUCUCAUCGGUGGAGUGUUGUGCACCUUUCAUCCUACUUCUCAUCGGUGUCCUCGCCUUCUCCAUCUAACUAUUCUAUGUGAUCAAAUACAUAAGCGUCAUCCAUGGGUUCGGUCCCUACUUCAAUUAUCGUGUUACCAAGAUUUUUUUUCCAUGGUGCCUCUGUGUUUGUCCACAGUCUGUUAUUGCCUUAUUGGGAUGCAUCACGAUUCCAGAGUUGAGUUCGCUUAGCAGUCAUGUUCUCCUUAAUGAGUUAUGGGGUUAGGGACUUGGAUAGGCAUGUCUAGACUUGCUAUGCAUUGCCACUAUAUUUGGCAUGCUUAGAACCGCUACACAAAACUUGCUAUGUAUUUUGUCUAAAAAUACUAUAUUAGUGAUAUGCUUGCUAGACCUAUAUUUUUUUCUCUUCUAUUCUUGUAUGGGUCUAUCAAGAAUGAUGCAAUUAGAUAGGGAUACAUGCUUUGUCAAUAUUGUAUGAGUCUUUGAGUGUAGUAGCAAAAGUCUUGGCA